ensembl:lncRNA
GAGGCAGUCAUGCAAAGAUCAGGGAGAACAGCACUUCAGGAAAACAUGACAAAGUUAGAAGCUCUAAGAAUGAUCUUAACCUGUUUGAGAAAUACUGAAAGUCCAGUUUGGUUGGAGCCUGCAGGAUGAGAGGAUGAGAUGAAGCAAAUGGGCUGAAGAUGGUAUUUAAGGUGGUGGCAUCGGCUAUUUUGCAUCCAUUUUGUGUGGUUACGUAGCCUCCAGGGGCCUUGAACUGCGUAGCCCCUCCCUAGAGCGCAUGCCUUAAAGAACAGCCUGCAGAGUCACAGGUGAGUCUAAUUUCCUGAUAAGCCCCUGGUAAUAAAUAGUCUCCCCUGAUUCCCAGCUCCUUCUCCUGGCUUGUGCCUUAGGUAAGACCCCCACGCAACUUACCAAAGCUCUGCUCUUUCUGGUUUGAAGCGACCAAUCCAGCCUUAGCCUGGGAACCCCAAAACAUUCUACCCUUGGACUCUAAUAAAAGCGUAUGUCCCAGAUCCUGCUGCUCAUACUCUGCCUGCACCCUGCCUUGACCUCCCUGUGUGGCUCCUCGAGAUACCUCCUCCAGGACCUGGGAAGAGUUAAAAUUGUGUUGGAUUUUCAAAGCAACAUGUGGACCAAUGAACCAUGAACUGCAGCACCCCAUGCUUGGGACUCAGCACCCUACCACACUGCCUGACCCUCUCCAAUCCAUUAGAAGCAAGCUGCUUCUCACUGCUCCAACUCUUAACAGGCCUAUUAAAUUUUUUUCCAGGAACCACAUCUAACCACACCCCUUCAAAUCAUCUACCUGCAAAGAAGGAGGGGAAACCCAGAUGUCAGCAGAACAGAGGAGCGGAAGGAUAUUGGAAGAGCAGCAGUUAUAGCAUCUCAAAGAGCGAGUGUUAUGGACAAGAGCCCCGGCGAAGGCCACUGUGCCGUGUGACACCUCCGAUGCCUCAUUUAGAGGGAUUUCAAAAGGAUUAAAUAAUUGUGAUUUUGGUCCUCUUGGUUUCUCUGAUGCUGCUGGGGCUCCCAUUUGCCUGAAGGGGCAUUCCUGUGAGUCAGCAUCCUCUCUAAUCAACAUGUUGCAGAAAAGUGUUUACACACAACAUCCAGAGAAGAGGUGGGAUGCCUACCACAGCAUGGCAUGCCUAGCGGUGCCAUGUCCGCAGCCGGGAUCUGAACUGGCGAACCCUGGGUCUCUGAGAAGUGGAACAUGCGAACUUAACCACUGCACCACCGGGACUAUAAUUGUCUGGAGCAGAAGAGAAAAGAUUGAUGUCUGGAUGAGAACAAGAGAACUGAGAAGAUUAAAUUAUUUCAGUAUGAAUCAAAUCACUCAUCUCUUUUCUGCUUAUUGGCUAGAUCACAAAGACGGUUUUACCGACUCUGACUUUUUAUGUCACUGGCCAUGUGGAAUCCUUACAUGCUGCUAGGUCCCCUGUUCUCAUAUUUCAUAGAAGUUCAAAGUAAGAUGAUAUAUCGCAAUUUGCAUUUAUCCUAGAGUUUGUAUAGGUGUUGCAUUUUAGUCUACUAUUCGGGAACAUAUGUAACACAUGGUACAAGGUUAAAAUGAGGAAAAUAAAAUGAAAAAAUGUAGUUUUUUGUUGUUGCUUUUGUUUUUUGUGUGUGUGUGCUUGUGCUUCAAUAAAGCUGGACUACUUCAGUGG